CUGCUCAAUGCAACAUUGUAAAUAGCCGCAGUAUUCUGACUGUGCUAAGGUAGCAUAAUCAUUAGUCUCUUAAUUAGAGGCUGGUAUGAAUGGCGAGACGAGAAAAAAGCUGUCUCUGGGAUAAUUAUUGAAUUUCAUUUUUGAGUGAAAAAGCUCAAAAUGAAUUUGGGGGACGAUCAGACCCUUUGGAGCUUUAUUUCAAUAAAGUUCUGAGUUAGAUUUAAUAACAAGUACUUUGUUGGAAUUUUGUUGGGGCGACAGGAAGUAAAAGAAUACCACUUUCUUUAAAAAACAUACAUUUAUGGAAUAUUGAUCCCCAAUGAGGGAUUAAAAGACUAAGUUACCCUAGGGAUAACAGCGUAAUCUUUUUGGAGAGUUCUUAUCGAUAAAAAGGUUUGCGACCUCNAUGUUGGAUUAAGAAAUUAGCAAGGUGCAGAAGUUUUGCUGGAAAGUCUGUUCGACUUU
rnacentral:rRNA from 1 species